AUAAACCAUAGACAAUGCAUACCUAAUGAGUAAAAAAUAACCUUAUUCAUUUUUCAUGAUCAGAAAUCCAUGAUUCUUUUUAUGUGCACCUGUUGAUGACGUGAUGAUUGGUACAGUUUAGGCCCUGUUAAUUAUUAAAAAUUAAGACACAUUAUUUACUAUUCAGUGCAUUUUGCUUAUUUAACUCUUUUGUCUGAAUUACUCGUUUUAUUAAAGAGAAACAAAAAAGCAAAAGGAUGCAAACAGCACAGAGUGUUUGAUAUUGGAAGCUGCGCGCACGUGACAGCAGAGCCGGCGCGCUCACUGUUGUCGUUUGGCGAACUCGAGGACGCGGCAGAACCGAGCCGGCUGAGACCCGCCGUGGGAAACCAAUACACGUUUUCAUUCAAGAAAUAUCGAAGGUAUUUGAGCUUUUGAGCGAAGACGAUGGAGGGUUACGGGCUGUCAGAGGACGAGAUCUUCUCAUCGUGUCUGCUCAACUUCACGUGCGACUAUUCAUAUGAGCAGUCUGGUACGGGAGAGCAAUGUCAUAUUGGAUUCUGACAGAACCGUUAAACAGUUGGAGAUGUCUGUGCAGUAUCAUAGAAAAAACUCUUCAACGCUAGUGGAAAUCUCACAUGGUGCCGGAUGAAGGCCACCCUCGUGUAGUGGGUCUGCUCUUACAGAUGCAAGGGGCCAAGUACCUGGGAGGGGAUUAAUUACCAGACAGCUGCCCAACAGCUCUUUGCUCACUCUUGGGAAGGCCAUGGCAUCCAGCCCCUACAGAAAUAACUUGUGAGAAGGGUGUAGGGCUUUUGCAAAUAUAGGGGUGAGCGGGGCAAAAACUAACGCGGGGUUAGUUGUAACACGGACUGUUUACAUUGUUGCACAAGGUUGAGCGUUUUGGUUUUCCGGUAUUUUUUCAUGCUGCCAAAAGACGAUCUCCCGUAAAUAACUGGAAAUGUAUAAUGUUGUUCCAGAGAGUUAUUGAUGAACGAGUGUUUUGGUGGCAUUUAAGUAAAUUUUUUCAUCAUAUGUUUUUUUUCGGUUUCUAAGUUAGGUGUUUCACUGCAAUUCACAUAAUGUUUUUUAUGUAUUAUUUUCAUCUGCUUU